GUCAGUCGGCCGUGGCGGGAGCUGGCAAGUAGAUACGUGCGAAGAAAACAAACACAAAAUGCCCAGCGUUGGUGCCGCGUGCGUCCCGGAUCUGCAGAAGGAGAGGGAGAAAUGUUGUUUUGAUAAAGAGGAAUUGACGUACUUGAUAGAUGGCGGAAAAGAGAGAACCGAAGAACGAAGAGAAAUGG